UCCGAAAGCGAUUUACAUGAAAAAGGGAAAGGGUGUUGAAUUUGUAUUCUGUGUGUCAGUGCUUCGAAGUACUUUAGUCAUUGGAUUUCGGUAUUUUAUCACCGAUUGAGCUUUUAUUUUAUGUCAUAUUCACCUAGUUACAAUCAAAAGCGCGGGGCCCCUUGAAGCGCGGGGCCCUAGGCAGAUGCCUCGUCCGCCUGCCCCUAAGCACGGCCCUGGUUGUGCUUAAAGGCAGAACUUCUACUGUAUGGCAGGAAAGAUGGAUUUGAGCUGGCGGAGGGAGGUGACGGUGCUUGUGGGGCCAGAUGGAAGCAAAUAGCAAAGAAUGACAACUAGGGUAGGUGGCACAAUGUGUGCAUCUCCUCUAUCCCUUUUAAUAAAACCAUCUUUCCCACCAUAAGUUAGAAGUUUAGUUUAUAAAUGCUGCAUCAUACUAUGCUUCAUGUAAGCUAGAAAAUGUCUGUAAAAUAUAUUGCACUUGCACCCCUCUGCCCUGGGUUUCUAGUUCAAAAACACCAGAUAAAUGCAGCAUAUGUUGCUUAAUAACUAUAAGUAAUCAAUUGCACCAUCCAACAACAAUAAUAAGUAAAAAUUACAUAAAAACAUUUUAGUCGUAUGGUAAAACAGAUAAAAACAAAACUGAUAUCAGCUGGGAGCACAAUAAAAUCUAUCUCUUUCGAUUGAAAGUGUUUUUACUGUAAUUUCAUGCUUUCCUACAUCGAUGAUCAUUUGACAUGCUAGUACUCACAACAUUUGAAAAUAUAAGAUCAUCCAUUGAACCUAUUAUUCUUUGACUGGACCAUGUACAUUUACUGGUUUCAGUUAUUACAACAUAAUACAAAAUCCUUUAAAUAAUGAUUUUGCCCUUAUAGAGGCUCCAUAUAUCCUCUGUUGUUUCUGCACACAGUGUUUGAAUUUGUUGGUUUGAACACCUUCUGUCACAAAAGGUAAAACCCCUUACUCCCUGGUUAUUCAAGCUAUACUAAACACAACUGUGCUGUACUAUAACAAUAUAACAACACAAUUAUUUUCAUUUGAAACACAUUAUAGGAACAUGUUCAGAAAAACUGAACAGACAAAGUCUAUAGAUAUCACAUAUUUCCCUUCUAUGAGUUACUAGUAUACAGUUUGCAGUUAUUCAUCAGAUAUAAAAACAAUUUUAAAAGAAUUUUAUCUGUCCGAUCUGCCAAUGUCUUUAACUCUUUGUCUUUUCAUGCUCAAAGUUUUGUCACUUCCAAGACACAAACCAGCUUUCACUCCUUUGCUUAAAACAGUAAAAUCUUUAGUUUACAGAUCUAGUCAUUUUCUCAACAUUCAUGCAUGGUGUAUCACCAGUCUUUCUUUCAUUUGCUUUAAUUUGUACCCAAGCUAGCUGACAUACUUUUUUUUUUUACAUCUUUUUCUAGAAGAGAUCUAAAGAAUAUCAGAAUUACAUUUCUGUAUCAUUUUAUAAAAACUAAGAAUGGAUCUGAACAUCUCAACUAUGAGCCAAAAUUCUAGUUACUGCAUUUAUCCUAUUAGCCUAUUAGAAGAUUCCAAAGUGUUUAACAAAGCUUGUGGUUAAUUAAAAAUAAAUGCCCUGAUACGAAUACCUAACAUUAAGCUAGAUCAAAGAGAACAGAUCUGUUGCAAGCUGCAACUGAAGAAAUACUUGAGUUAAAUAUACUGUUCUAAAUGUUUGUCAUAUAGAAAGUGCAUCCUAACAUAAUGUACAUUCAAAAACUAUUGCAUGGAAAAGCAGCAACAAAAAACAUUUGGAAAAUAUUUAAAAUUUAAACUGCAUUUGUGAUAAAACAUUAGUUAACACUAUUUAUAAACAGUUUUUUCUUGUAACUUGUCAAAAUUGAUAAGUUGAUAUUAAGGUAGCCAUUUUAUCAAGUGGAACCUUUUUUUAUUCUGCAGUGUCUUGGACAACACUCUGUAAAAUGAGAGUGCAUUGCUACAAAAACAGAACCAUUUUAAAACUGAACAAUGUUCACAAUUGUUGAAUGCUCCUGCCUUUUAAGGAUCUUUGUACAGCAAGUGUCUGAUAGCAUCUGGUCUUUGGGCAUGACACAGCCGUCAUAAGAGAAGAAAAAUCACACGAAAUAAAUAAAUAAAGAUAAUGUUUGUAUUUACUUAUACAGAAAAAAA